rnacentral:lncRNA from 1 species
ACUCAGCAGGAGCUAUUCUUACGCCUGGAGGUGGCGUGAAGGGAAGGACUGUUAAGCAGAAUCUUCUGUCAUGAAGACUGACUGCAGACAAAGCUGGUCUGGGGCAGCACAGAGUGGAUUUACUACACAUCUGGUGACUGAAUAGAUACCCUUUUAAGAAAGACUAACCAGGCUAAUCAAAGUGGGAAGAGGUACAAAUCCGACCGUCUCUGGACUAGUAUAAUUCAUUCCACACUGAAAGGAGGAAAGGCAUUAAGCAACAGAAGUGGAAAGAAACUCUCUCUGUUCGAUUUACACACCAUACCUACGACUUCCUCAACAUCAUGAGAGUGCUGGGCACAUGCUGGAAAUGUCCUGCUUGCUCGGCGGUGAGGGUGGUCUCUGUCGUGUCCCCUCCAUACCUCCACUUGAAAGCUGCAC